rnacentral:rRNA from 1 species
AUACAGAGGGUGCAAGCGUUAAUCGGAUUUACUGGGCGUAAAGCGCGCGUAGGUGGCUAAUUAAGUCAAAUGUGAAAUCCCCGAGCUUAACUUGGGAAUUGCAUUCGAUACUGGUUAGCUAGAGUAUGGGAGAGGAUGGUAGAAUUCCCGGUGUAGCGGUGAAAUGCGUAGAGAUCUGGAGGAAUACCGAUGGCGAAGGCAGCCAUCUGGCCUAAUACUGACACUGAGGUGCGAAAGCAUGGGGAGCAAACAGGAUUAGAUACCCUGGUAGUCCAUGCCGUAAACGAUGUCUACUAGCCGUUGGGGCCCUUGAGGCUUUAGUGGCGCAGCUAACGCGAUAAGUAGACCGCCUGGGGAGUACGGUCGCAAGACUAAAACUCAAAUGAAUUGACGGGG